rnacentral:rRNA from 1 species
CAGCACCUCAAGUGGUCAGGAUGAUUAUUGGGCCUAAAGCAUCCGUAGCCUGCUUUGUUAGUUUUCGGUUAAAUCCAUACGCUCAACGUAUGGGCUGCCGGGAAUACUGCAGCGCUAGGGAGUGGGAGAGGUAGACGGUACUCGGUAGGAAGGGGUAAAAUCCUUUGAUCUAUUGAUGACCACCUGUGGCGAAGGCGGUCUACCAGAACACGUCCGACGGUGAGGGAUGAAAGCUGGGGGAGCAAACCGGAUUAGAUACCCGAGUAGUCC